ensembl:lncRNA
CUUAAUUAUAAAAUAAUCUACAGGGAGUCGCAAAAGUCUCCAUACAUAGAGGACCAUGUUUGCAAGGACUACGUAGGUUGUGCCUUCGGAUGUCCGUGGACGUCCACGAAUUUUUGAAAUUGUUAAUAAGUUUGGAAACAGCGUGUAAUCGUGUGCGACGUGCUCGGUGUGUUUCCUGUUAAAGUCCAUCGCAACCUUGCGACAGCUUCCCGAUCCGGCCAUGAGAAUGAUUUCAAUACGUUCUCCUGUUGUCAACGGCUGAAUAUAUGUCUGGAGACUUUUGGGACAGCUUGUAUAAUGCAAACAGCAGUGUGGGCAGCGCACCAAGCGUUCGCAGGACGUUUCUUUCAAUAAAUGUGAACGGCAUUGUGUUUUAUUUUCCCGAGGUCGUUCAGUGAUGGCGGAGUGAUCUCCUCAGGGUCACGGGGAACCUGGAGCCUAUCCCAGGGAGCAUGGUGCACAAGGCGGGGUACACCCUGGACAGGGUGCCAAUCCAUCGCAGGGCACAAUCACAUACACACUCACACACCCAUUCAUACACUACGGACACUUUGGACACGCCAAUCAGCCUACCAUGCAUGUCUUUGGACUGGGGGAGGAAACCGGAGUACCCGGAGGAAACCCUCGCAGCACGGGGAGAACAUGCAAACUCCGCACACACAGGGCCACGGUGGGAAUCGAACCCCCGACCCUGGAGGUGUGAGGAGAACGUGCUAACCAUUAAGUGGAGGCAAUGUAUAUAAGCUAAAGAUGAUCAGUUAAACCCAAUUUCCUCAAUACUAUGCAAAUUAAGUGUCCAGACAAUUGGCAUGAAUGGAUUCGGGGAGUAAUCCUGUGAUGUUUGUGAGUGUGUGUGUGUGUGUGUGUGUGUGUGUGUGGUCCAGUGUUUCUUCAGUUCACAGCUUUAGCUCCUACCUGCAAUUACUUUCCAUUUACUUGAUGCACAAACAGAAAAAUAAAGCUUGGAAGGAAGUAGCAAAGAUCGUUGGUGCCUCUGGUGAGAGUACGUAGCAAGUACAGUUAACUUGCUUUGCUAACCUUCCAACAACGCCAGUACGAAGCCAAGCAUGCAACAUGAAAAUCAAACUUAAAUACAUUUUAAACAAAAGUGAUAUGUAUAAAUCAUCUAGUGGGCUGUAUUAGGCAUAUAUUGGAUACUACUGGGUUUUUUUUUCUUCUUAAAACUAAAAGACAAAUGCUGGACAGUCACAUGAGCAGCUUGUCAUUUGCUAGUGUAAAUGUUGAGUUAUUCACACACACACACACACACACACACAUACACACUCAAUACAUGACCGCUGUUCUUCCUCUAAUGGUUUCACUCUUAUUACUGCUGACUUGGACACAGCGUUCUGUAAAGGGAAAAGAAACAGCA